GCCGUGCAGUAAUAACUCACAGAGCCAAGUGCUCGCUCCCCUGAACAGCGACGGAGCCACCCCACAGGACAAGGCCGGGACAUUCCACAGAGCGUUUGGUUCCCCUCCACACUCAGGGCUGGAGCCUGGGCUCUCAAAGGUUGCUGCACUUGGGAUGAAAAAGCAGCAUGAGAUGUCCCUCCGCCCGGGAGAGAGGGAGGAUUUUAAGUUGACAUUUACCAAACUCUAAAAUGCAGGCGCUUUUUGAGAGGGAAACACUCCAACUAUUUAGCCGGGGUGGUGGGUUCAAAGCGAUGGGAACAGAGCAAUGGCUCCAAGCUGCUCCAGCCUCCCAGCCAGCCCGCUGCACCACUGAGGAGAGAGGGAUCGAUUAUCCCCCUUAGAACAGGAUUUCAGAGCAUCUUGCAGGACCUGAGGACCAUCAGGACAGCAGCUCAUCCCUUCCAAAGGAGGGCAGCACAGCUGGGAGGUGCUGGCCCUGGCAGUGGCAAAGAGGCCACAAUUCAGUCCUGGGACACAGGCACCCACAAAGCCUGGGGGAGGCUGGAGCAGCCCUUUUCCCCAGAGCGAUUUCAGCAUCAAUCCUGACCAGCUCCUACAGGACAGAGCCACAAGAGACGCUUCCCAUGAAGACACAAACAGCCAAGAGGCAUCACUAACUGCUAUGAAAGCUGCCCAGCUUCCCAAGGAAUUGGUUUUCCUUGGCAACCUGACUCCAAAUCCAGUAAGAGAGGAUCAGUGCAAGACCUGGCCUGCUCAUUACAUUAACUCCAAGGAACAAGCCAGACUCUUGACUGGGCUUGAUAGAAAACCAACACAAAUGAGAGCAGAAUUGAACUUUCAAGCCACUCCUCCACCUAAAAAGAGGUAAAGGUAAAAGAAACAUGGCUAUUUUUGGUUUACAGGUCAGCACAGACACUCCUGUGCCUCUGCUCCAUAGAAGCAUUCACCCACCCCAGGAUGCCAACAGUCACACCAGGAGCUCAAGGCCACUCUGGGACAGGGUUGGACAGCUGCCAUUGCAUGACUGCACUGCCGAGUCAUCCAACUGGAGCAUUUGCUGAGGGGAAGCUCAUCCAGGCUGGGAUGCUGCAAGGACUGUGUAACUUUUGGACACUCACAACCCCACUACCAAUAAAGGCAUCCUCCACACUCCUCCAGGGGUAAUUCUGGGCACCACCAGCCACUAAGCAAGGAAAGGUUUGUGGGUGGGAGCAUAAGGAUCCUCAUGUCUCCUGGGAGUGUCACCUGGUUGGGAUACAGGUCAGAUUGGUGCACCCCAGCAGGGCAUGAAGGAAGGGACUCAUAUACAGAGCAAAAGUCUUCUCCCUCUCUUGAUCCACCUCAGCCAGGAAGGUUCAUACCCUCUCAUUAGCUGACAGCCCUCCAUGAAGGAGUUUUCACCAACAUUCAGUGAGAUUCAGGCACAUAGCUACUUUUUGGGUUUGAUUUCUCUGUCUGUAUUCCUUGCACCCAUAAUUCAGGUAUAAAAGCCAUGCAGGUGAGGUCCUGGUGCAUUUUCUAUUUGAGACCAUGCAAGAAAGAAAAGGAAAAGGAGAUCAGUGCACAAGAGGUGCUUUUUCUCCAAGCCUGGGUCAGUGGGUAACAGCCAGUCCCUGCUGAGAGAGGAAUCAUGGAGGCAAAGAGCACUCAGGUUUCCCCUAAAAACUGGGAGCAGAUGCUGUGCAAGACACUGGACUGAAGUGCACAAUGCCCUUUAGCUUGGCAGUGGGAUGCAGCUGACCACUCACCUUUGCUGAGGAUAUACUCUUGGACUCCACAGGACAUUUCAUAUGCCUCUCACACACAGGCCCAUUACUCAGAUCUUUCUCUUCCCCACUCUUCUGGUUUUAUUCCUAUUCUUUACUCACACAUCCACCCAGAUCCUCCCCUCACCCAACAAACACCCACCUAAGCAAUAGCUUGUUUCAAUCACAAGAUGGUCCCUACUGCUGGGCCAGCAUUGCUCUUGCUGAGUGAGGGGGAAAGCAAAGAACCUUCUUCCCACUCAGGCAAGUCCACCCAGGGGAGGAACAGCACCAACCUCUCCCCAGCUGCACCCUUCCUCCUCCAGUCCUUUCUUUCCAAUUCCUUCACUUAGGUCAAAGCUGCUGUGCUCUGCACGUUCCUCCAUUACCCAGGGCUAAACACAUUGAAAGAUGACUGUACUUUACAGCAUAUGCAAAUAAUAAAGAAUAAAUAAUCCGUGAUCUCCUCAGCCAUUCUGAUAGAGCCAAAUGGGGACAGAACUUACCUUCAAAAGUCCUGAGAUGCAGCAUCUCAAGUGCAAGAUUUUUAAGAGGCCUGAAUAGACAGAGAUGGAAUUCAGCAGAUUUA